AGAAAAACUCUGUUUCAAAGAAUUCAUUUGACUUUGCAGAGCCUCCAUUUGAGUGUUCCAGUCAGGAGGAUAUACAGAACUUGUAGGAACAACUUCAAUGCUGGCUUGCAAUGCUUGACCAGAGUUGGAAUUUUUGACAAAAGGCUUCUUUCGUCCUCCGUUCUUUGGAUGAUAAGGAUUAUCAUUGGGAUAGCCAAUCAAUUUGUAACAC
rnacentral:lncRNA from 1 species